rnacentral:rRNA from 1 species
UACGGAGGGUGCAAGCGUUAUCCGGAUUCACUGGGUUUAAAGGGUGCGUAAGUGGGCAGGUAAGUCAGUGGUGAAAUCUCCGAGCUUAACUUGGAAACUGCCAUUGAUACUAUCAGUCUUGAAUAUUGUGGAGGUCAGCGGAAUAUGUCAUGUAGCGGUGAAAUGCUUAGAUAUGACAUAGAACACCAAUUGCGAAGGCAGCUGGCUACACAUAUAUUGACACUGAGGCACGAAAGCGUGGGGAU